UAGCAAGGCUUGCGCUCAAGCUCUCGGUACGUCGGACGGUGCCCCGGCGUCAGACAUAUCCUGCGGAUAUGGCAUCGUUACGGAACUGCGCACACUGAGCAGAUCCACACGGCGCAGGCU
rnacentral:sRNA from 1 species